GCUGGCCAAGAAAACUUGGCAUCUGGCAUACCUAGGAAUCAUUCAAAAUAGUUUAAUAGGAAGGACAUUUUGAGGCCAGCCAGCAUUAUGGCUUUUGUGGCUCCUGUGGCAUUUCACCUUGGAAAUCUUUUCUUAGGCAUCUAAAAGGAUUGUGGACCUGAGGCACUGUGCUUAAAGGGCCUAAUGGGUUUAUUCUAAAGAAGAAAGAAAAUCUAUAUGCAUGAAAAGAUAGAUUAAGAUUAUAUGCUUAAAAGUUUUGAACUACUCAAAAUUAAGAUUUGGGGAAACAGAAGUAGUAUAUAACCUAAGAAAACUGCCGCUAACUGUGAACUCCCUUGGCAUUUUCUUUGCACUUCUUUGCUUUCUGUUCGAUUGCUGUGUUUUUACCAUUCACACAAACUUUUAAAGAUUAUUCCAUGCAGUUAGCUCUAUGCUUCUAUUAGUGUGUCUCUCUGACUGUCUUUCUCUCUCUCCUCCAUCUGAGUACAAUGGCUAGAAAAUAAUACACACUUAAAUGAAUAAAUAUUAAAUAUUAAAUAUUUUAAUGAACAGAAGGAAUAGUAUAGUAAAUUUCCC